rnacentral:rRNA from 1 species
ACGAACGCUGGCGGCGUGCCUCAUCCAUGCAAGUAGAACGCACAGUUUAUACCGUAGCUUGCUACACCAUAGCCUGUGAGUUGCGAACGGGUGAGUAACGCGUAGGUAACCUGCCUGGUAGCGGGGGAUAACUAUUGGAAACGAUAGCUAAUACCGCAUAAUAUUAAUUAUUGCAUGAUAAUUAAUUGAAAGGUGCAAUUGCACCACUACCAGAUGGACCUGCGUUGUAUUAGCUAGUAGGUGAGGUAACGGCUCACCUAGGCGACGAUACAUAGCCGACCUGAGAGGGUGAUCGGCCACACUGGGACUGAGACACGGCCCAGACUCCUACGGGAGGCAGCAGUAGGGAAUCUUCGGCAAUGGACGAAAGUCUGACCGAGCAACGCCGCGUGAGUGAAGAAGGUGUUCGGAUCGUAAAGCUCUGUUGUAAGAGAAGAACGGGUGUGAGAGUGGAAAGUUCACACUGUGACGGUAUCUUACCAGAAAGGGACGGCUAACUACGU